GAUGAACGCUGGCGGCGUGCUUAACACAUGCAAGUCGAACGGAAAGGCUCCUGCUUGCAGGGGUACUCGAGUGGCGAACGGGUGAGUAACACGUGGGUGAUCUGCCCUGCACUUCGGGAUAAGCCUGGGAAACUGGGUCUAAUACCGGAUAGGACGAUGGUUUGGAUGCCAUUGUGGAAAGUUUUUUCGGUGUGGGAUGAGCUCGCGGCCUAUCAGCUUGUUGGUGGGGUAAUGGCCUACCAAGGCGUCGACGGGUAGCCGGCCUGAGAGGGUGUACGGCCACAUUGGGACUGAGAUACGGCCCAGACUACUACGGGAGGCAGCAGUGGGGAAUAUUGCACAAUGGGCGCAAGCCUGAUGCAGCGACGCCGCGUGGGGGAUGACGGCCUUCGGGUUGUAAACUCCUUUCGCUAGGGACGAAGCGCAAGUGACGGUACCUGGAGAAGAAGCACCGGCUAACUACGUG
rnacentral:rRNA from 1 species